rnacentral:rRNA from 1 species
CCUACGGGAGGCAGCAGUGGGGGAUAUUGCACAAUGGGGGAAACCCUGAUGCAGCGACGCCGCGUGUGGGAAGACGGUCCUCUGGAUUGUAAACCACUGUCCCCAGGGACGAAGAUGACGGUACCUGGGGAGGAAGCGCCGGCUAACUACGUGCCAGCAGCCGCGGUAAUACGUAGGGAGCGAGCGUUGUCCGGAAUUACUGGGUGUAACGGGAGCGGCGGCGGGACUGCAAGUUGGGUGUCAAAUCUACCGGCUCAACCGGUAGCCGCACUCCAAACUGCAGUUCUUGAGUGAAGGAGCGGCAGGCGGACUUCCUAGUGUAGCGGUGACAUGCGUAGAUAUUAGGCGGACCACCAGUGGCGAAGGCGGCCUGCUGGGCUUUUCCUGCCGCUGAGGCUCGACAGUGUGGGGAGCAAACAGGAUUAGCUACCCCAGUAGUC